UAAAAAAUAAAAAAGUAAUAUUGUUGCGGUUUCUGGCCCAGAACCGCAGCAAUAUUACUUUUAUUAUUUUUA
rnacentral:pre_miRNA from 1 species